UUACAAAACUAUUGUUUUUUUAAUUUUUCAUUUAUUCAUUUUGCACAAAGGUAAUAACAUGUUUCACUAAUCCCUACUAAAAUUUUUGAUCUUAUAAUUUUUUUAGAUGUUUUUAAUUGGUGUCAACACGCGGUGGUGGGUACAUGUGUAGUUGUCAUUGAGUUAUUAUUAAUUCCAUACUUUACUGUCCACCUGCAAGAAUUUGAACAAGAAAAAGCCUGAUAUUGUGUUUUAUGUAAAACGAAACGUUGCAACAAAUUCUUUUUAACCUUUUAAGGAAGUUGGUUCUAUCGUCUUUAAAUUUUAUUACAAUAAGUAAAUAUAUUGAUUAAACGAUUGUAUAUUAUGUUUUACACUACCAUUUGUAACAAAUAUAUGUACUUCGAUGUUAAUUAUUCAUUAAAAAGAUAGGUGAGCUUGUUUUUCAAUAAAACUAAA